UCUGCAUAUAAGUUGAAUAAGCAGGAGGAUAAUAUACAGCCUUGACGUACUCCUUUUCCUCUUUGUAACCAGUCUGUUUUUCCAUGUCCAGUUCUAACUGUUGCUUCCUGACCUGCAUAUAGGUUUCUCAAGAGGCAGGUCAGGUGGUCUGGUAUUCCCAUCUCUUGAAGAAUUUUCCACAGUUUAUUGUGAUCCACACAGUCAAAGGCUUUGGCAUAGUCAAUAAAGCAGAAAUAGAUGUUUUUCUGGAACUCUCUUGCUUUUUCAGUGAUCCAGCAGAUGUUGUCAAUUUGAUCUCUGGUUCCUCUGCCUUUUCUAAAGCCAGCUUGGACAUCUGGAAUUUCAAACUUCAGGUAUUUUUGAAGCCUAGCUUGGAGAAUUUUGAGCAUCGCUUUGCUAGCAUGGGAAAUGAGUGCAAUUAUUUGUGGUAGUUUGGGCAUUCUUUGGCAUUGCCUUUCUUUGGGAUUGGAAUGAAAACUGACCUUUUCCAGUCCUGUGGCCACUGCUGAGUUUUCAAAAUGUGCUGGCAAAUUGAGGGCAGAACUUUCAAAGCAUCAUCUUUCAGGAUUUGAAACAGCUCAACUGGAAUUCCAUCACCUCCACUAGAUUUGUUCACAGCGAUGCUUUCUUAGGCCCACUUGGCUUCACAUUCCAGAUGUAUGGCUCUAGGGGAGUGAUCACACCACUGUGAUUAUCUGGGUCUUGAAGUUUUUUUUUUUUUUCUUGCACAGUUAUUCUGUGUAUUCUUGCCACUUCUUGUUAAUAUCUUCUGCUUCUGUUACAUCCAAACCAUAUCUGUCCUUUAUUGAGCCCAUCUUUGAAUGAAAUAGUACCUUGGUAUCUCUCUUUUUCUUGAGGCGAUCUCUAGUCUUUCCCAUUCUAUUCUUUCCCAUUCCAUGAUAAAGGAACAGUGACCUCCACAGGAGACUUAUCUGUGGGUGUCUGGAAGUCUCCGGUGAAAGUGUUGGUCAGUGGUGGCCUGCUGCAUGGUUGGGGCCAUAGACUGUAGCAGUAAAUGCAGGAUA
rnacentral:lncRNA from 1 species